rnacentral:rRNA from 1 species
GCGGGGAUGAAUGCAUGAUCUUAGUGGGCCAUUUUUGGUAAGCAGGACUGGCGAUGAGGGAUGAACCUAACGUUGAGUUAAGGUGCCAAACUACACGCGCAUCAGAUACCAUAAACGGUGUUUAUUCAUUUAGACAGCAGGACGGUGGCCAUGGAAGUCGGAAUCCGCUAAGGAGUGUGUAACAACUCACCUGCCGAAUGAAUUAUGCCCGGAAAAUUGAUGGCGCUCCAGCGUGUGACCGAUACUCAACCAACGUUGCGAAAGUUAUGCAGCGUUGUGUAGGGGGGCGUGGGGUUGUGUCGAAGCAUUGGGUGUGAACCUGUGUAGAACAGCCUCUAGUGCAGAUCUUGGUGGUAGUAGCAAUUAAUCAAAAUGAGAACUUGAUGGCCGAAGUGGGAAGGUUUCCAUGAGAACAGCAAUUGGUCAUGGGUGACUCGGUCCUAAGACAUUGGAAACUCCUUGUCAGUGAGCUUUUGCUCGUAGUCAAAAGGAAUGAGGUUAAUAUUCCU